CGCGCCACGGGAAUACAGAGGGUGCGAGCGUUAAUCGGAUUUACUGGGCGUAAAGCGUGCGUAGGCGGCUUUUUAAGUCGGAUGUGAAAUCCCUGAGCUUAACUUAGGAAUUGCAUUCGAUACUGGGAAGCUAGAGUAUGGGAGAGGAUGGUAGAAUUCCAGGUGUAGCGGUGAAAUGCGUAGAGAUCUGGAGGAAUACCGAUGGCGAAGGCAGCCAUCUGGCCUAAUACUGACGCUGAGGUACGAAAGCAUGGGGAGCAAACAGGAUUAGAGACCCCUGUAGUCCCUGUCUCUUAUACAC
rnacentral:rRNA from 1 species